GCUUCGUGUGUGAGUAGUGACCUGCGGAGGAUCAUUAUUGUAAAAUGAGAGAUGCACAGGGUUGUAGCUGACCUUUUUCCAAGGGUCGUGCACGCCCAAAGUGCUCUCCUACACAUCAUCUAUUUCACCCCUUUGUGCAUUGCCGCGUGGGAUCCCCUUUUGGCUUGUCCUGAAGGGGGCCUGCGUUUUUACAUAGACACCCUUUGAAUGCAUGUGUAGAAUGUCUUGCUUUUUGCGAUCACACGCAAUCAAUACAACUUUCAACAACGGAUCUCUUGGCUCUCGCAUCGAUGAAGAACGCAGCGAAAUGCGAUACGUAAUGUGAAUUGCAGAAUUCAGUGAAUCAUCGAAUCUUUGAACGCAUCUGGUGCCCCUUGGUAUUCCGAGGGGCACACCCGUUUGAGUGUCGUGAACACCCUCAACCUUCUGGGUUUCUUGACCAGGAAGGCUUGGACUUUGGAGGUUUAAACUUGCUGGUGUCUUUUGAAAACCAGCUCCUCCUAAAUGAAUUGGUGGGGUCCACUAUUGCUGAUCCUUGACGUGAUAAGUAUUCCUUCUACGUCUUGGGUUUUGCAGUGUUACCUUGGAACCUGCCCUCUAACUGUCUUUGAAUGAAGACAAUGUUCGAGUUACGACUCGACCCUACAGACCUUGACCUCAAAUCGGGUGAGACUACCCGCUGAACUUAAGCAUAUCAAUAAGCGGAGGAAAAGAAACUAACAAGGAUUCCCCUAGUAACUGCGAGUGAAGCGGGAAAAGCUCAAAUUUAAAAUCUGGUGGCCUCUGGUCAUCCGAGUUGUAAUUUAAAGAAGCGUCUUCCGCGUUGGACCGUGCACAAGUCUCCUGGAAUGGAGCGUCAUAGAGGGUGAGAAUCCCGUCUUUGGCAUGGACCCCAGUGCUUUGUGAUACGCUCUCGACGAGUCGAGUUGUUUGGGAAUGCAGCUCAAAAUGGGUGGUGAACUCCAUCUAAAGCUAAAUAUUGGCGAGAGACCGAUAGCGAACAAGUACCGUGAGGAAAGAUGAAAGCACUUUGGAAGAGAGUGAAACAGUACGUGAAAUGUGAAGGAAACGCUGAGUCAGUCACAUUGACAGACUCAGCUGCUGCUGUGUACUCUGCUGAUGGUCAGCAUCAUGUGAUCCUCGAUAUGGGUAGGGAA
rnacentral:rRNA from 1 species